UGUUGACAGGUUUAUCUUUUUCUUCCACUUCACACUGUACUCAAAUCACACCUGUUGAAAGCAAGUACAAUCCGUGAAAAUGCUUGUGUCAAACGGUUGAGCUCCAGCAAGUUGCAAGAAUAGAGAGAAGGUGGCAGGAAUCUUGAUUGUCUGUUAAAGAGGGAGCAAAUACAACUCUUUCACAGAAUAGUUGCACCAUGCCCCUGGAAUAUCCCAUUUUUGCAGCUUACACCAGCCCACCAUCUGCUGAGCUGGCUGUCCCUGGGGGCCUGCAGCAUCCAACUCCCCCCAGCCCGGCUGAAAGGAUCUGUUACAAAUGGAAAUGGACUACCUUCAAGUUGAUCCUGACUUAUGGUGACCCUUUGAAUAGGG